GGUGUGUUUGUUCCUUUGCCCUCUGGUGCCGUUGUUCUUCCUGUGUAGGCGGGCCUAAGCUAAGAAGAGGUUUGUUGAAGUGGGGUAAUAAAAAAAGGCACUCACCCGGAGCCCCAGUCACGGCAGUAACGUAUUCGAGCGAGCAGGGGGCUCAGCGAUCCUUAUCUAUUCUCGAGAAAGCCCACGUGAAUAAACGUUAACUCCACCCGCUCUUAAUCGUUAACGUUACGUCUGGGCGGUGCGGUUUAUUAGCUAAAACAAAGCGGUCCCUCAGAACAGUUGUAGCUAGUCUACGUUUCAAUUACCGGUUUGAUUUUGUUUGAAGAGUACACUUUUUGGAGGCAGAUGUUACUCUGAAUCUACACAGACAUCGCCAAGGUAUCAAGCUUAAGAUGGACCUGAGGUUACUUUUAAUAGCAGCAUUAUCAGCAGUCCUCGGUGGCAGCUGGGGCAGAAGAGAGAAGCAUAUGCA